GCAAGUCGAACGAUGACGACAGGGCUUGCCUUAUCUGAUUAGUGUCGAACGGGUGAGUAACACGGGAGUAACCUGCCCCCCUCUUCGGGAUAACCUCGGGAAAUCGGGGCUAAUACUGGAUAUGACUUCGCACCGCAUGGUGUGUUGUGGAAAGUUUUUCGGUGGGGGAUGGGCUCGCGGCCUAUCAGUUUGUUGGUGAGGUAAUGGCUCACCAAGGCGAUGACGGGUAGCCGGCCUGAGAGGGUGAGC
rnacentral:rRNA from 1 species